AUGCUAAUUCAUGUGCUUUUAAAAUCAUCUCUUACAGACAAAAAAGAAGCAGCUUUGACCAAAGACCUGAAAGAGCCAGCAAAAGCUCCUGCAGCCCAGCCAGCCUCUGCAAAAAUAGCUACACCAGCACUGCACAAAAAAGAAAAGCCGGUAGAAAGUGCAGAGCUACCAAAAAAGGAUGUGCAUGUAAAAGCACCCGGCAUUCACUGGAGUUCAUGGAAGCCCCACUGCCAGUGUCCUGCAGCCAUAGAGGUCCAUAAGCCAAAAGCUGCCAUAGAAGUUCCCAAGCCAAAAGCUGCCAUAGAGGUCCAUAAGCCGAAAGCUGCCAUAGAAAUUCCCAAGCCAAAAGGUCAGUAGUGUGUUUUUUUAUUUUAAGGUGUAUAUAUAUCUUCUGUUUUAAGGCAAAAAGCUGAAAAAAUUGGGGGCCAGGGAAAAGCCAUCCAAUAUUUAAUAGGUAUUAUUAUUUCAUUUUGUAGUCACCAUAGAAGCUCCUAAGCCAAAAGGUCAGUAGCAUUGUUUCGAUUUUAAAGUAUAAAAUACCUUCAAUUUUAAGGCUCAAAGCAGGGAAAUUUGUGGGGGAGAUCUAUGUUUCUAUCUAAUGUUUAAUAAAUAGUGUUAUUUUAUUUUGUAGCUUACACAGAUGUUUCUAAGCCAAAAGGCAAGUAACGUUGUUUCUAUUUUAAGAUAUAAAAUAUCUUCCAUUUUAAAUUAUAAGGUGGGGAAGCUUGGGGUGAGGUAUCCAUGUUUAAUAUGUAUUCUUAUUUUAUUUUGUAGGCGCUAUUGAAGCUCAUAAGCCAAAAGGUCAGUAGUACAAUUUUCAUUUUAAGGUAUAAUAUAUUUCUAUUUUAAGGUGAAAUAUGUGUUCCAUUUUAAGGCUAAAAGCAGAUAAUUCUUUUCGAGGGGGGGAGCACCUAUGUUGUCAUCCAAUGUUUAAUAAGUAUUGUUAUUUUAUUUUGUAGUCAUCAUAGAAGUUUCUAAGCCAAAAGGGCAGUAGUGUUGUUUCCAUUUUAAUUAAUUAAAAAUAUUCCAUUUUAGUUAUGAAGCGGGGAAACUUGGGAGCAGGUACCUGUGUUGCCAUCAGAUAUGUUUAAUAAGUAUUCUUAUUUUAUUUUGAAGUCACUGUAGAAGUUCACAAGCCAAAAGGUCAGUAACCAUAUUUCCUUCUUAAUCUAUAAUGAUCCUAUACUGUGUAUAAAACUGACCCAUGUGUAGGGAGAACAAAUAUGUGGAUGCCUCCAUGUGCUUUUACAAUCCAGAUAGUGCUGCAUGGAAUCUUAAACCAUUAUCUAUAUGCUAAGAUUGGGGGGAAAGAAUAUCAGACCAUAUUUUAUAUUGUGAUUUGUACUGAUCUCCUCUGGGGGAAACUUCUCCAACUAGUCAGCUCCCAACUGGCAAUUGUCAUCCAGAGGAAUUUUUCAUUGACUGAACCAAGACUAUGGAAUGACCUGGUGGAAGAAGUCUGACAGCUAAAUGAAGUGUCAGAAUUUAAAACAGAAUUAAAGACCUAUCUCUUCCGGCAAGCCUACCCAGUCAACUCUGAAUCAUGAGUUUUGGAUUUACAUUGUAUUACUGCUAUAUGCUGAUUUUGUAUCCUGUAUCUAAUGUAUCUUUUUAUAAUGAUGUGUUUUAUGUAUAUAUUUAAUUUUAUGUAUUUUAUGUUCAUAUGUUUUGACUCUGUUGUACCCUGCCUUGAGCUGUUAGAAAAGGCUGGUAACAAUUAAAUAUAUUAAGAAUUCUUAAUUUAUUUUGUAGCCACCAUAGGGGUCCAUAGACCAAAUGGUCAAUAUCAUUGUUUCCUUUUAAAGAAUAAAAUACAUUAUAUUUUAAUGUACAAAGCAGGGAAUUAUUUUGGGGAACAUAUGUUGCUAUCCAAGGUUUCAUAGAUAUUCUCAUUUUAUUUUGUAGUGGCCAUAGAGGUUGCUAAGCCAAAAGGUCAGUAACAUUAUUUGCAUUUUUAGAUAUAAAAUAUCUUCCAUUUUGAGGCACAAAACAGAGCAAUUUGUGGGAGUAGCUAUGAUGCCAUCCAAUUCUUAACAAGCAUUCUUAUUUUUUGUG
ensembl:lncRNA